rnacentral:misc_RNA from 1 species
GAACGCACAUUGCGCCCCUUGGUAUUCCAUUGGGCAUGCCUGUUCGAGCGUCAUUUACACCCUCAAGCUCCGCUUGGUGUUGGGCGUCUGUCCCCGCUUCACGCGAGGACUCGCCCCAAAUUGAUUGGCAGCAGCAUCGUCGGCUUCUUGCGCAGCACAAUGCGCUCUGGGAGGCUUGCGGCGGGCUAGCGACCACGAAGAUACCACCCAGUUUGACCUCGAAUCAGGUAGGGAUACCCGCUGAACUUAAG